rnacentral:rRNA from 1 species
CCCUUAGAUGUCCGGGGCCGCACGCGCGCUACACUGGAGGAAUCAGCGUGGCUUUCUCCCUGACCCGAAAGGGUUGGGAAACCCGUUGAAUCUCCUUCGUGAUAGGGAUUGGGGCUUGAAAUUGUUCCCCAUGAACGAGGAAUUCCCAGUAAGCGCGAGUCAUAAGCUCGCGUUGAUUACGUCCCUGCCCUUUGUACACACCGCCCGUCGCUACUACCGAUUGAACGAUUUAGUGAGGGCCUCGGAUUGGUCUCGGCCCGCUCUUUACCGGGCGGCGCCGUUGGUCGAGAAGACGCUCGAACUUGAUCGUUUAGAGGAAGUAAAAGUCGUAACA